CACAGGAAGCCUGGAGAUUACAGUAUCCCAGGUGACUCAGGGCACAAGGUGGGGGACACCCUGGAGAGGGCGUCAACCCAUCGCAGGGAGCAUUCACAAACACACACACCCAUUCACACACUAAGGACAAUUUGGAAAUGUCAAUUAGUUUACAACAUUGCAUGUCUUUUGACUGGGGGAGGAAACCGGAGUACCUGGAUGAAAACUCCAAAGUUCGCAGAGAAAAUGCAAGCUCCGCACACACAGGGCAGAGGUGGGAAUCAAACCCCCAAACCUCAGAGGUGCAAGGCUAGGCCACUGUGCGCCCGCCACACACAGUGACCCAGGCUCCUGUGGUAUGUCGGAGGCGUGUUGAUGAAUAGCAAGGAAAAUGCUUGCCGAUAUUUUCAGCAUAAAAGCGCCUGCCUCCAUCAGAGCUGGAUUAAUCUGCAGUGGUGUGAUGCAGAGUGAAAGCAGUGAGCAUAAAGCAGCUCAUGGCAGCAGGUAUCCGGAGAGCUACUGAAGCGAUGUUGAAACCCUGCUUCGAGACACAUCAAUCAGGAUCGAGCAGCCGGGGUUUCUCACCACAGCUGACAGAGAUGUGUGGAAGAAUACUUGGAGCCAUCUACGUGUUUUUCCAUGGAACCCGGAUACACCCGAGAACAGACAGGGAAACUGUCCUUCAACACGGAAUUCCAAGACGUCAAAACAAAACGGCGGCUCACGGUCACAGCAACCCGAUUUCCCUUCGCAUCAUUUACUUUGUAGCUUUUGUCUUCAGAAAGGAUGUUUUGAUUGCUUCGUUGCUUCUUCAAAUUGAGAGACUGGCCAUACAACAUGACCUUGUUUUGGGAAUCCGUUUCGACCUUUUGGAAAUUCGACUUGGAAAUGUCCCACUUCAUUAAGAAACCAGUCAUGUUUCACCCAAAUGCUAAACCUGUGAGAACGCGGACACUCGAAGCGAGGACAGCAGAGACACCGUGACCCCUGUGAAGAUCCUCGGUGGUGAUGUCCCCACUGCACAUCGUCAUUAUUACUAAUGACUGCAACACUCGGGUCACACCUCACAUUCCCUGAGGUUUUUUUUUCCCUCAUUCAUAUGCAUGAGGCCCAUUUCCCUUUGCUGAGAUUGUGCUGUGCCGUCGGGCCGAAGUGGGACAGCUCUGCAUACCUGUACUGCUGUUCAUCACCUUCAAGGGUCAAAACAUAACCCACAUAAUCCCUGAGCCUAUUAAACUCCAGCACAUGAUUAUACUAGUCGUGUCAAAGCGAAAGAACAUUCCAGCGAGGAAAAAUGAGUAAGAAUAAGAAAACUAGUAAAUACACAGUAUACUAGCAGGAGUCAAAAGUUUGCCAAUUAAAUAUGCGUUGUAAUCUGACAUAGCACAAUUAAAAAAAAAUCCAGAUGAUUUAAAAAUCCUGAUAUUAAUAUAAUCACUAUGUACAAAUUUUUUAACAGUCAAGGAGCGUUGUUAAAAUACUCAUCGCAUGUACGUUCAUUAAUGUAUAUGUUCAGUGUGCACCUCUAACCAUCUUUCCAUCACUUUCUCAGUGGUGUUGCGAGGUCUCUACUCACACUCAUUUAGAAAGCAACAUGGGGUCCUGGACCUCCUUUGCAGACUCCACUACUAUCAAUCUGGAGCCAAUUCCUCAGCCAGCACAUCCACACGGCCAACACAGCACGCUUCAAAUUGCACUGAGGAAGGGGGGUAAGUCAUAAUCAGGAGAGUCUGAGGGGGAUAAAGGCACCAACUUGCAACUAUCCUGGCUAAUAUGGUGUCAGCUGUACCUGAGGCAUGAGAAGGCAAUGGUAGUAUCCAAUAUCUCCAUCUGUUUAGUGCUCCAAAUGUAUGUAUUAGAAUUUAAACUGGAAGUGGGUGUGGCCCGAACUUAAAAAAAUAUAUUUUUUAAAGAGAAUAGCAUGUUCGCCUCACACCGCCAUGGUCGGGGGUUCGAUUCCCACCGUGGCCAUGUGUGUGCGGAGUUUGCAUGUUCUCCCCGUGCUGCAGGGGUUUCCUCCGGGUACUCCGGGUUCCUCCCCCAGUCCAAAGACAUGCAUGGUAGGCUGAUUGGCGAGUCCAAAGUGUCCGUAGUGUAUGAAUGGGUGUGUGAGUGUGUAUGUGAUUGUGCCCUGCGAUGGACUGGCACCCUGUCCAGCGUGUACCCCGCCUUGUGCCCGAUGCUCCCUGGAAUAGGCUCCAUGUUCCCCGUGACCCUGAAAAGGAUAAGCGGUAUAGAAGAUGGAUGGAUGGAUGGAGAAUCUUAUGUCUUAUGUCUAUGUUCUGGGAGGGAAACAAACAAACAAACAAACAAACAAACAAACAAAUCUUCGGUGCUGAAAAAGAUGUCACCUUUCAUUCACAAAAAAAUAGCAAUCAAAUGCUAAUCGCAUACAAUUGUGGAAUAUUUUUCAUCUCUUUCCCUUAUUUUCCAUGAUUAUGUGUGAAUAUGUGGUUUCAUCAUGGUGGAUUCUUCCUGUGUGACUUCUGCUGUUCUUCAGUGUCUAUAAAUGUAUACAUGCCUGUCCUGUGUCCAUAAAUGUACAUGUGUAAAUGCAUACAUUUAUUAUUUGUUUUUAUUAUAUAUUGUCCUUGCUCUUAGUUUCUGCUUGCUCUUGAGUCAUGUCUGUUCCCUAUCUUGGCCUGGACUCACACACACACACUCCAGUAUUUAAGCUAGCUGAGAACACCUGAUGUAUAGACUAUGCAGUGCCCAUGCUGUUUUCGUGCGCACAAUAAACCAUCUCGUUGACUAUA